rfam:Sus scrofa isolate TJ Tabasco breed Duroc chromosome 4, whole genome shotgun sequence.
ACAAUGGCUUUGUUAAAAGCUACUUAGAGAAAGUGAUAGGGAUUGU